rnacentral:rRNA from 1 species
UAGGGAAUCUUCGGCAAUGGACGGAAGUCUGACCGAGCAACGCCGCGUGAGUGAAGAAGGUUUUCGGAUCGUAAAACUCUGUUGUUAGAGAAGAACAAGGAUGAGAGUAGAAUGUUCAUCCCUUGACGGUAUCUAACCAGAAAGCCACGGCUAACUACGUGCCAGCAGCCGCGGUAAUACGUAGGUGGCAAGCGUUGUCCGGAUUUAUUGGGCGUAAAGCGAGCGCAGGCGGUUUCUUAAGUCUGAUGUGAAAGCCCCCGGCUCAACCGGGGAGGGUCAUUGGAAACUGGGAAACUUGAGUGCAGAAGAGGAGAGUGGAAUUCCAUGUGUAGCGGUGAAAUGCGUAGAUAUAUGGAGGAACACCAGUGGCGAAGGCAGCUCUCUGGUCUGUAACUGACGCUGAGGCUCGAAAGCGUGGGGAGCAAACAGG